UACGGAAGGGGGCUAGCGUUGCUCGGAAUCACUAGGGCGUAAAGGGUGCGUAGGCGGGUCUUUAAGUCGAGGGGAUGAAAUCCUGGGACUCCAACUCCAGAACUGCCUUUGAUACUGAGGAUCUUGAGUUCGGGAGAGGUGAGUGGAACUGCGAGUGUAGAGGUGAAAUUCGUAGAUAUUCGCAAGAACACCAGUGGCGAAGGCG
rnacentral:rRNA from 1 species